AUGACGGCACGGACGGCGUCGAUGGGCAUUAAAACCGCUGCCAGCACUAAAUCUAACUUCAGAGACUCAACAUUACGAUGAGGUUUAGAGCAGGCUUUCUCCUCCAAAAUAUUCCACCGACCAUAGGCAGUCUUGUUGAAAUAUCCAGUGCUUACCGGCAAAUAAAGUAUCAUUUAGCGGCUUAACGACUCUCCUCAAAAUGUCGUUUUGAUAGUUCGUAGCACGUAUUUUACCCCUUGUUCACAAAAAUGAAGCUCUGUGACGCCUUCAUAGGAUACUCCCCACCAAACCAUGACAUAUGCAGGAUGGUGACCUCUUUCUACCCUUGGAACUCUUUCAGAAGCUUCUUGGGAACUGUGAGCAUAUAUUUUAUCAUUUUGGCGGUUGAAUUUUUGCUCCACGGUAAAGAUUUU